GUCUCAACAUGGUAAAGAAUCUGCCUGCAAUGCAGGAGACCCAGGUUCGAUCCCUGG
rnacentral:tRNA from 1 species